CUAGGACUAGAAGACAUCAAAUGAAGAUGAAUGUUGGCAGAUUGGGCUCUGCCACCUCCUCUUCCUGCGGAGUCCCUUCUACUGGUUGGUUGAAGACUCCCUCCAUUCCCCAUGAGGCUCUGCUCUCUGCAGGAGGGGCAAUGAAGAGAGCCAUUAGUUCUGAUUCCCCAUCUUUAGUGUCAUAAGAGCUUGGCCUUGGCAGGAGCAACAAAGUACAAGUCUUGGAUUGUAGUAUCAUAGGAAGCUGGGCUCAUGGUUUGUCUCCCCCAGACAAACUACAUACUGUUAAGACAAGAACAAGUGUUGAUUACUGUUUACCGUUCUUUGGAGAGAAGCAAACUACAGCUACCCAAUUCCUGCAGGGUGAGAAUGUUAUAACUAUGAAAAAUGAACCAGCUCAUGCCAGGUACCCUGUGAGAGUUGUGGAAGAACUGACAGAAAAACACUUUAAAUCAACACUGCAAAUGCGGGAUUAGAAUGAAAAGCUGGAAUUCCUAGCAGCCUUGUUGUAGGACCUGGGGAAACCAGCAAAGAAUACCUCCAGAACCUUUGCAUAGAAAACAGUACCCCUGAGCUGUGCGAAAUUUGCCUCUGGACAAGACUUUCUAAUUCUGAACAGAGGGAGCCAUGGAAGCUCACAUUUAAUUACACAAGUCAUUAAAAUGGAUUGAAAUCUG